GUAAACGGCGGCCGUAACUAUAACGGUCCUAAGGUAGCGAAAUUCCUUGUCGGGUAAGUUCCGACCCGCACGAAAGGCGUAAUGAUUUGAGCACUGUCUCGACAAUGCAUCCGGUGAAAUUGAAGUACCAGUGAAGAUGCUGGUUACCCGCGCCAGGACGGAAAGACCCCAUGGAGCUUUACUCCAGUUUGAUACUGGGAUUCGGUACUGCAUGUACAGGAUAGGUGGGAGACGGAGAAGGAUGGACGCCAGUCUGUCCGGAGUCGCUGUUGGGAUACCACCCCUGUAGUACUGGGUUUCUAACCAGUUGCCAUGAUCUGGUAAUGGGACAAUGUCAGGCGGGGAGUUUGACUGGGGCGGUCGCCUCCGAAAGGGUAUCGGAGGCGCUCAAAGGUUCCCUCAGAAUGGUUGGAAACCAUUUGAAGAGUGCAAAGGCAGAAGGGAGCUUGACUGCGACACCGACGGGUGGAGCAGGUACGAAAGUAGGACUUAGUGAUCCGGUGGUAUAAAGUGGGAUUGCCAUCGCUCAACGGAUAAAAGCUACCCUGGGGAUAACAGGCUUAUCACUCCCAAGAGUUCACAUCGACGGAGUGGUUUGGCACCUCGAUGUCGGCUCAUCGCAUCCUGGGGCUGUAGCAGGUCCCAAGGGUUGGGCUGUUCGCCCAUUAAAGCGGUACGCGAGCUGGGUUCAGAACGUCGUGAGACAGUUCGGUCCCUAUCCGGCGCGGGCGGAGGAUAUUUGAGAGGAGCUGUCCUUAGUACGAGAGGACCGGGAUGGACGGACCACUGGUGUAUCUGUUGUCGACCAACGGCAUGGCAGAGUAGCCAAGUCUGGAAGGGAUAAACGCUGAAGGCAUCUAAGCGUGAAGCCCCCCUCAAGAUGAGAUAUCCCUCCUUCGGGAGUAAGACCCCUUGAAGACUACAAGGUAGAUAGGGCAGAGGUGGAAGCAUGGCAACAUGUGGAGCUGACUGUUACUAAUAGGUCGAGGGCUUAAUCUG
rnacentral:rRNA from 1 species